rnacentral:rRNA from 1 species
AUUGAACGCUGGCGGCAUGCCUUACACAUGCAAGUCGAAUGGUAACGGGCCUUCGGGUGCCGACGAGUGGCGAACGGGUGAGUAAUGCAUCGGAACGUACCUUUCAGUGGGGGAUAACGUAGCGAAAGUUACGCUAAUACCGCAUAUUCUGUGAGCAGGAAAGCAGGGGAUCGCAAGACCUUGCGCUGAUUGAGCGGCCGAUGUCAGAUUAGCUAGUUGGUGAGGUAAAGGCUCACCAAGGCGACGAUCUGUAGCGGGUCUGAGAGGAUGAUCCGCCACACUGGAACUGAGACACGGUCCAGACUCCUACGGGAGGCAGCAGUGGGGAAUUUUGGACAAUGGGGGCAACCCUGAUCCAGCCAUGCCGCGUGAGUGAAGAAGGCCUUCGGGUUGUAAAGCUCUUUCGGCCGGGAAGAAAUCGUAUGGGUUAAUACCCUGUGCGGAUGACGGUACCGGCAUAAGAAGCACCGGCUAACUACGUG